rnacentral:rRNA from 1 species
AUGGCCGGCGACGAGCUGCGGGAGGAGCGAGGCGAAGUGGUGGUUGGUGGCGGCGAUGUUAUCGCCAAGCUGGACGCGGAAUCGGUGAAGAGGAGGAGCCGGAGGGUGGUCUCCAAGGACAACAUCGCCGCGGCCAAGUUCGUCGCUGACCGCGCUGCGACUGAGGCCGCGCGGUGCAAGGCCGAGGUCGAGGAGAAGGAGGCCAUCUUUCUCUGGAGCGGCCGUCGGUCCGGCGAGCACAGGCUCGUCGGUCGCCCGACCUUUGCACUGCCAGUCGCCGACGUCGCGGACCACGCCAAUGUCACCCAGAUUCCCCCCGCCAAGGCACGACGGGCAGACCCGUUUCUCGGGGUCGCCGGACCUGAACGUGAUCGCGCCGUCCACCCCAUGCCCAGUGGUCGUCAUCGACCUCAACGUCACCCUGGGUCCAGCAGCGGCGGCCGGCCGUCCGUCGAGAUGCAAAGAAAGCAAGCACAGCCGUCGUUUAUGGGCACCAUGCCGUCCCCCCGCGUCUUGUUCGAUGGAAUGCCAACACCAACGGCACCGGUCGACGACCCCUACUACGACCAGUUCAUGGAGGAAGUGAUCUACGAGGGUGGGCAUGUCCCUAUCUACGACCCCGACGAGACCCAAAAUCAGGAUGGUCACGGCCAGUUCACUGCCGAUGAAGAGGCCGACGAACGUGCCGACUACGACCAUGGUGACUCGUGGCAUGAGGACGAUGACAUCUAUGUUGAAGGUGAUGGUGAUGAAGAAGAAGGCAAUGCCAUGGAUAUUAGUGGCGAGCCAUUGUUCGUCGACGAACUCACCCAAAGAGCGGAAGCACAAAAGAGGAGGAAGAGCAUUCACACGGGUGCGCAACAAAAGGGCCUAGUUUUUUGGACGAGAGUCCACAAAACUUUCCAUGGAAGGAAGAUGUUUGAGCCCUACCAAAUCACAAGCAACCGUGGCAUCACCUCGAUUCAAAAGAGGUGGUUGUUCAUCCAACAAGAGUGCAACAAAUAUUGUGCCGCAUUUGAGAGCGUUGAAGCACGGCCCGUGACUGGUCUCGGCGUUGGGGACAUGGCAUUUCAAUCUUUGGAAGCAUUCAAGGCCCGGCACAAUGACAAGCCAUUCACUCUUACGCAUUGUGGGACGAUCAUCAACAAUUGUCCUAAGUUCAAGGAUCAAUACCGUGAGCUACAAAGAAAGAGAGGCAAGAAGACGGCCAAGUUCGCCGGAGGUGGAGAUGGCGAGGCGUUGAAGAGGCUGAGGGGCAAGAUCAACUCGAAGGAUGUGAGGGAUGAGAAGAAGCGGCAAAGCAAGGACGAGCAAAUGAAGCAAUACCUAGAGCUUCAAAGAAAGAAGCUUGAGAUGGAGGAGGCGGCCAAGAGAUGGAAGAUCGACAUGGAGGAGGCGGCGCGGCAAAGGCAGCUCAACAUCGAGGCCGAGAACGUCAAGGCCAGGCGAACAGGAUGGGGUAAAAAGGAUGCGGCCGCGCGCUGGGCGUACGGCCACCGCAUCCCAGGACAGAUUCUCAUGAGAGCGCUCACCUCACUCGCUAGCUGCUUCACUCUCCACUUCCUUCCCCUCCGCGCGAGAUCCAGCGUCCGCCUCAGCCUCCGCGACGCCGUCCACCUCCUUCUCCGUCGAGGUCUCCGCCGGCGGCCGGUCAGCGCCCCUCCUUUGGCUCGAUACGGCAGCGAUAUGAGCGGUCGGUUCUCAAGUCCAAGUCAAGAGUGCCCGUCCUCCAGAUCUGCUGCUGUACUAUGUAGUAGAUAG